GUAUUAUGGGGUGCACAUAUGCUAAAAUUGGAAUGAUACAGAGAAGAUAAGCAUGGCCUCUGUGCAAGGAUAAAACACAUAUUUGUAAAGUAUUCCAUAAUUUU